rnacentral:lncRNA from 1 species
AGAAAUCCAGGUCUGAAACCCUAAUGCCUUAAAUUAAUGGAUGAAACAAUCUUAAUCCAGUAAUAUAUUUUAAAUAAGGGCUUGUUAAGAUGGCAGAGCCUGGUAAUUGCAUAAGACUUAAAACUUUAUUUCAGAGGUUCAACUCCUCUUCUUAACAUUACUACUUUUAAUUAUUCCAAUCUUAGUAGCUAUAGCCUUCCUUACCUUAAUUGAACGAAAAAUACUAGGAUACAUACAACUUCGCAAAGGUCCUAAAAAAUACUAGGAUACAUACAACUUCGCAAAGGUCCUAAUGUUGUUGGGCCUUACGGCUUACUUCAACCAAUUGCUGACGCAGUAAAAGAACCCAUAAAACCUUUAACAUCAUCAAUUGUAUUAUUUAUUAUUGCUCCAACCCUUGCCCUAACACUAGCAUUCACCAUAUGAAUUCCCC